CUGCUCACGUACAUGAGGUUUACCCACAGCUCUGCUCAUGUGCAGAUCCUGAUGCCAGAUGCUGCCACCGAUUGUGAAAGUAGUGUGUGGUGAAAUCAAUGCUGCUUCUCACGCAACUCCUAUGUUUCUGCAGCCUUACUUCUGCCUGUCGUAUGCAGUGUCGCUAUAGACAUGACUGUUUUUUCUGUAGACUACACAGUUUAUUGUUACAGUUAGUGAGGACCGGCAGUGACGCCCAGAUUAUGACGUAGUUGGGGAAGCUGCCUAUUGUUACAUUCAGUGAGGACGGCCUUUGCAGACACCGACCGGCCCAACAGAAUUAGUUUUAACUCAGAACUCGUAUACUGCAGCUGUCCACUCAUCCAUUCCAUCUGUCUGUUUUAUUCCACAGAACUUACUCCCUGUGUGCUCUUAUGCUUGUAAUAAAUGAAGGUAAGCACUCAGCCUCACUGUGUAACAACCCGAUACGGCAUAUUUGGCUUCCUGUUUGUACCCACAAUUGUGUGUUUGUGUUUUUAAAGUGUCGUCACAGAACGUCACAGUCGAAGCUGCUCAAGGAGACGCUGUGAUCUUACCAUGUUCAUCCAGUCGUUAUGAAAAGAACGUGUUCUGGCGAUACAGAGACACCAAGACUGUGUAUGACAUCAUCGAGGGUAAAGAGAAUUUUCAUGACCAGGAUGGAGAGUACAGGGGCCGAGUCAAAGGUUUUCCAUCAGAAUUCACAAAAGGGAAUUACUCCAUUAGACUGAGUGACGUGAAACUCAGUGAUACAGGAACUUACAGCUGCACCAUCCCUGACUCCAGAACUGUCCAUGUAGAACUCAAGGUCAAAGAUGAGAGUAACUCAAGCCACAGGACUUCCCCAGAUAACAGCGGCAUCAUGAGAAAAGCAGGCAGUACCUCAUCUUUAGUCAUUUUAGUUCUGCUGUGUAUCUUUGCUUUCUGAAGAAAGAACUAAAGCUUCAAAAUCUUUUCUUCAGUACAUCUUUGGCAUUCAUUUUAUUAUUAUUAAUCGGAUAGCAGUAUAUUAUAUGCAGUAUAAUAGUUUAAUAGUAGAUAGCAGUAUAUUAUAUGAUAAAAGUGACUCUCCAGAUAACAGCAGCUUCAUGAGAAAAGCAGGCAGUACAUUAUCUUUAGUCA